CUGUACAGCAAGAGCAAGAGCACCCCUGUCAUGGCGUCGCGGUGAUGAUGCUCGCCCGGCAAUCCUUCCACAUUUUCCGCCAUUUCCCGAUUUCGGGCGCCCAGCCGUACACGUGAACUAACAGUCUUGGCUUCAGGGCAGGUCGCUGAAAUGGUCCGCGAGACAGUGGCUGGCGAGGGAGAAGGAGGAAGAGGAGGAGGAGGAGGAAUGACCAAGAGGAGGGAAGAGACAAGAGGCCAAGCAGUGCAGAGAAGGAGCAGAAGAAGAAGGAGGAAGAAGAGGAGGAGGAUGUGACCUCUAUACAUAAAGGCAGAACUAUAUAUAGAAGCUUAUGGAGUAGAGGAAAUAUGUCAAUCUAUGGAGAAGGAGGAGGAGGAGGAGAAGGUUAACUUGUCAAUAUAGGCAGUUUAUAUACCAAGGAAAAUAUUUAAAUGAUUUGUAUUAUGCAUCUAUUUAAAUGUACGUUAUGCACUUAAAUGUAUGUCUGUAUAAGGUUGUGGGAUUUACUUAUAUUGUCUGUGGUAUUUUUUUUACUUAUAAGGUUGUACUGAGGAUUUUACUUAUAAGAUCUAUGGCUGUAUGGAACUCCUACAAACCCUUUCUACUAUGGCUAUUAAUUAACAAAAACCUCUUAGUUUCAGCUUGUGUACAGGGUUAAAAUAUAGUUAAUGUUAGAGUUGGAAGUGUCUGACAGUCCCAUCUCUUUCUUACAGGCCAAGCAGGAAGAAGAAGGAGGAAGAAGAAGAAGAAGGAGGAGGAGGAGGAGGAGGAGGAGGAAGAGGAGUAGGAGGAGGAGGAGGCAACUUAUAAAUAUAGACAAGUUUAUGUGUCUAGGAAAAUAUUUAAAUGAUCUGUAUUAUGUAAAGUAUUGAAUUUAAAAUAUAUCUACUAAUAAUUUCUAUGCAUGUUUACAGGGUUACAUAUUUAAGCUGUAAUAUAAUUUACAUGUAUUUAAAUGGGGUUUUAAGUAUAAGGUGUUUGGUAUUGCUAUACUUAUAAAAUCUUUGGUUUUUGGGUAUAUAAUUCUAAGUAAGUGUUUCCCUACGUUAUUUAAGUGUAAAGUAAGUGUGUAAGGUAUUAAGUUAUAUAUUAAAGUGUGUACCGGGUUCUCUAAUAAGUGUGUAGUGAUGGCAAGUAUUUAAGUGUAAUGUAUAAAGGUUACAUAUAUAUAUAUAUAAGUAUUUAAGUGGGAGCAGCAAUUAGUGGGCUGUAUUUUUCUACACUUUUUUGCCCUUGAAAAAAAAAUACUGUGAAAUCUUUAAGUGUACACUAUGAAGGCUAUACAUUUAUAAGUAUGUGUAACAUCCUGUGGGGGCUAACUAAUGUAAGGGUGAUUUCAUAAGUGUUACCGUAGUGGUGUGACUUAAUCAGCAACCUCUACUGCAAUUAGUCUGAGUACAAUUACUGGUUCUGGUACUCUGAGUAUUAACAAAACCUUUUAAUUUCAGUUACCAAGGACAACCUCUGCUGCUCUGGGUAUCAACUGCACUCCUGGGACUGGUGUAACAUCUGCAUGCUCUCUUUUACAACUCACUCUGGUUCUGCUGUUCGUAACACCUCGCUCUGCGCCUGCUGUCGUACUAACUCCUGCUCGCUUAACCCGCAUGGAUUUUGUAUAACGCCUAUAGUUUUCGUGUGACGGUUCCCUUCGCUCUUCCUUCAUAACUAAUCGCACGGCUUUGCAUGGAAACUCCGGCAACUUACGGCUUAAAUUUCGCAUGAGAACUACUCCUGCUUACGUAUGACAAUUCUCUUUGGCUUUCCUAACAAUUCAUGGAUUUUGCAUAACCCCAUUCCAUUUCCGCUGUCAUGCUAACCCAUACUAAUGCUGGCUGGAGUAUCCUAACCCAUAGUCUAAGCUGCCGGCCAGAGCUUCGGGUGACCCCUAACUUGAAGCCUGUCGGAUCAGCGUCUAGCGAGGGAGGUUCCGUCAGGUUCCGCUCCCCCCUAGAGCUGUCUCCCUUCACCUUAAAAAAAUAGUUUGACAUCAUUUGAGAGCAGCAGUACAGGCCAGGUAUCAGAGAGGGGUUCAGGCCUAUAUGGGGGCACCUCCGUUAGGCUUGUACCUCAAAAAAUAAAAGAUUAAAAAUUAAAAAAAAGACUAUGUGUCCAAGUCAUGUGAGAAUCCUGACUAUGGAGGGAGAUUAUCCUCAAACACGUACGGUUAUAUAUAUGUGUCUUUUACCCACCCAUGCGUGCAGUACGGUUGAACAUUAGAACGUAAGAACGUGGUGGUGGUGGUGGUGGUGGUAGGGAUCAUGUUUCUUAAUGGUCCCUCUAAGCGAGAAAAAUGAGAAAAAAUCAUCACUCACACAAACCAUUUCAUAAUACAUAUCAAAGCAUUUGUCAUCACAUUAUGUAUCAUCUAUUUUGGGGGGUUUAUAUCAUGGCACAAAUUUGGCCCGUCGCUGCUACACGGUAAAGCCACAAAUUUGGCCCGUCACUGCUACACGGUAUAGCCACAAAUUUGACCCGUCGCUGCUACCGUUUUAAAAAGCAUUACCAAGCACAUCAGACGCCCGGGAAACAUACUAUACUAUAUGAAAACCUUACCAAGCACAUGCAACCUCUACCAAGCCUUACCUCAUAAAAUAAUCUACCAAUUAAUAUAUUUGCCUACUCUAACAGUCUACAUUUUCAGGACUUGUAUUUAUGUAUUAAUUUUUAUUGUGUCAUUUUAGUGUUGAUUUGUAUGUCUGUUGUUGAUUGUAUAAUUCCAAGGCUGAAAAGGUCCGUAAUUGGGUUCUCAAGGGUGUGUUUUGAGGUUGAUGGUACAGAGGAAGGGUCACAUUCCAACCGGGUCAUAAAAGCACCCCUGCCUGUAUAUAACACCUCUGAAAGCCUUGUCAAAUAUGUGUUUUUUAGGUUGAUGGUACAGAGGAAGGGUCACAUUCCAACUGGGUCAUAAAAGCACCCCUGCCUGUAUAUAACACCUCUGAAAGCCUUGUCAAAUAUGUGUUUUUUAGGUUGAUGGUACAGAGGAAGGGUCACAUUUCCACAGAUCAUAAAAGCAUCUCGGAAAAUGCCCAAACCUCCACUGAAAGCCUUGUCAAAUAUGUUUUAUUUUUUUUACGUCAUGGCCUAUUGCGCCGGUAGGCUUCUUCCCGGUGGAUCCUGAUGGUCGGCCCAAGGCUUCUUCCCGGUGGGGCCUGAUGGUCGGCCCAGCCCGUUCUGGCGCAGGCAAGUGUUUAUAGUGGCGCCAUCUUGCAUUGGCUCAUGCUGCCCUCCCAGAGCUCAUCUUUAAUCCUAGAAUCUAGAGUCCGGGUUGGUCUUCUGGACAGCAUGUGGGUAGUUUUAACCCGGUAGCAGUGGGGAUCAUGUUUCUUAAUGGUCCCUCUAAGCGAGAAAAAUGGGAAAAAAUCAUCACUCACGCAAACCAUUUCAUAAUAAUAUAUAUCAGCAUUUGUGAUAAUUUUAUGUAUCAUCUAUUUUGGGGGGUUUAAAUCAUGGCACAAAUUUGGCCCGUCGCUGCUACACGGUAAAGCCACAAAUUUGGCCCCUCGCUGCUACCGGGUUAAGCCACUUGGCACCCAUUGGUCUGGGUAAGUUAUAUUUUAUUGGUGAACAUUUUAAAGUAAGUGUUUUUUCCUUCAUAGCCGGAGAACAGAUGCAGCCAAUUAGAUUUCUGGUGCAGGGGAGUUCAUUUUAGGGGGGGAUUCUCUCAUUACAAGCUUUCUCCUCCAACUCUUCCUUUCCCCGGCCAAGACCUACAUAGUGUUGUAACCCAUCCUGUGAUAGGGUAGGUAAUUCUUCUCUUCCUGAUGUCACCACUUUUCUGGGGGGGUCUUUUUGGGUCCUGUUUAACGUAUUUUCCAUUGUUAUAAUCUUGGGUAUAGCUCUGAUGAAUAUGUCUCCUCUUGAUAUGUGUCCUUACUGGCUGUCUCCCCUAAUAGAUGUCUUUUGUAGGGGUUAAAUUCCUGUUCUUUCCUAUAGUACAUGAACCCUUAAGCUUAUAUUCAAUGACCCUGGGUGUAGCUAUAUGAUGGUAAGAUAUAUAGUAUAGUUUAAUAAUUUUAGGGUGGCUUUGAUGAUGCAGUCCUCACAAAUGUUAUUUAUAGGGGUUGAACUCCUGCUCUUCCUUAUAUAUGAACCCUUGCCUAUAUCCUGGCCCUGGCUAGAGAGAUAUUUAUAGUGUCAUAAUCUUGGGUAUAGCUUUGAUAUGAUUCAGUCCUCGAUAUAUGUUUCCUUACCGGCUGCCUCCCCUCACGUAUAUCUUUUAUAGGGGUUAAAUUCCUGUUCAUCCAUACCUAAAUGAUUGACCUAUGCUUAUAUCCAAUGGCCCUGGAGCUACUGGUUAAAUACUAGUGGACUGGAUAAACUGUAUAUGGCUGGGAGGUCACGGUAAUUAAGAAGCUGGAAAAAGGGGAAAUGACUCAAGGAUUAACGAGUACAGUUUUCUUUAUAAAUUGAGUCCAAGCAGAGGAUAGUGUCAGCUGGGUGGCUUAAUUAAACUGGAGGGUCUGAUAUGAAUGCUAUGAAUUUGGACAUGUUAAAAUUUGCAUAUCUUUCAAUGGAACCAUAUACCUAUUACCUGUGAGGGUCAAGCAGUACAGUUUCCCAUACAAGUUAGGUUACAGAAUAUAUAUAAUAGCUUUGUAUGAUUAACUUGUGGACAAAACAAGGUCACAGUAACAAAGGAAUAUCUCUCCAGGGUCAAGAAGUACAGUUUCCCAUGCAAGUUAGGUUACAAGAUGGUGCCAACUUGAAGGUAUGAUAGAAAAGCUAGGAGUUUUGAACCUGAUAAAAAAUGUCUUCAAUCUUAUAUGUCUGAAGGGUAAAAAGAUCAGUCUCCCGUACAGAAGUGGAUGAGUGAAAUGGCCAAAAAAGUGGAGGUGUGGAGUGAAGGGGAAUUUAGGUAGAUAUAGAGAAGGAAACGGAACUCCCAGUUUAACUCAGCCCUUGGAAACUGGAAAUAGCUUAAAUUCAUGCGAGGAUCUAACCUAACUCCCAGCUUAACGCAGCCCUUGGAAACUGGAAAUAGCUUAAAUUCAUGCGAGGAUCUAACCUAACUCCCAGCUUAACUCAGCCCUUGGAAACUGGAAAUAGCUUAAAUUCAUGCGAGGAUCUAACCUAACUCCCAGCUUAACUCAGCCCUUGGAAACUGGAAAUAGCUUAAAUUCAUGCGAGGAUCUAACCUAACUCCCAGCUUAACUCAGCCCUUGGAAACUGCAAAUAGCUUAAAUUCAUGCGAGGAUCUAACCUAACUCCCAGCUUAACUCAGCCCUUGGAAACUGGAAAUAGCUUAAAUUCAUGUGAGGAUCUAACCUAACUCCCAGCUCAACUCAGC